AGAGUUUGAUCCUGGCUCAGGAUGAACGCUGGCGGCGUGCCUAACACAUGCAAGUCGAGCGAAGCACUUUACUUUGAAUCUUUCGGGAGGACGAGUGAUUUGACUGAGCGGCGGACGGGUGAGUAACGCGUGGGUAACCUGCCUCACACAGGGGGAUAACAGUUAGAAAUGACUGCUAAUACCGCAUAAGGCCACAGCACCGCAUGGUGCAAGGGUAAAAACUCCGCGG
rnacentral:rRNA from 1 species